rnacentral:rRNA from 1 species
CUGCAGGCUGCAACUCGCCUGCACGAAGUCGGAAUUGCUAGUAAUCGUAGGUCAGCAUACUACGGUGAAUACGUUCCCGGGCCUUGUACACACCGCCCGUCAAACCAUGAGAGUUGGCGACACCCGAAGUCGGUAGUCUAACCGCAAGGAGGACGCCGCCGAAGGUGGGAUUGGCGACUGGGGUGAAGUCGUAACAAGGUAUC